rnacentral:misc_RNA from 1 species
GUCAAAUUAAAAUGUCUUAUUACUUUUAAACUUUACAACCAAGCAUGCACAUUGUAGAGAAAAACUAUUCUAUAGAUAUACUACAACGUGUCUAUUACUUAAUAAUCGUUUGAUGUAGAUUUAGAAAUUUGUAUGCAUUGAAUACGAAUUCAAAUUUUCUUAUAGAUUCUCUUUUAAACAUCAAACAACGUAAACGGACAACUACACUGAUGGGGAUUAAAGCUCGUCCUUGUGAUCCUCAACUACUUUUAGAUCCCCUUUUGGCUUAGCCACAGGUAAUCCAUUCUCCAACCAAGCCAGAUGUCCUCCGCCUAGAUCUUUCAAAUGCUUGAAACCAUCAUUUUGGAGAUCAUCAAUAGCAAGCAAAGAUCUAACGCCGCUUCGACAACCCACGACGAGGCGAUCGUCUUUCUUAAAGACCGCCGAUACUUCCGCCAGAAACUGAGCAUUUUUCACCCUACCUGAAGAUUCCACCGCCGCGGCUUUCAGUCACUUGCCGGAAAAUUCGAACGUAACAAGAAAGAAAUAUCGAAACGGUUAUAGAAAAAAUAAUUAACCAUUUGGAGAAUUUAACAGAUACGGAAUAUUAACGAUCUUCUCCGUCGCCACAUGCCCGUCCUUGAACUCCUCAACAGUCCUGACGUCGAGAAAAGCGUAGCCGGAAUGGAGGAGGUUCUCGGCGGUUUUGACGUCGACGGUGACGAUUCCGGCAUCGGAACUACGGAAAACGAAAAAACAGAUAAGAAGGAGAAUCGAAUUAGCAUUCAUUGGAAAAAAG